GAUGAACGCUGGCGGCGUGCCUAAUACAUGCAAGUCGAGCGAACGGACGAGAAGCUUGCUUCUCUGAUGUUAGCGGCGGACGGGUGAGUAACACGUGGAUAACCUACCUAUAAGACUGGGAUAACUUCGGGAAACCGGAGCUAAUACCGGAUGAUAUUUUGAACCGCAUGGUUCAAAAGUGAAAGACGGUCUUGCUGUCACUUAUAGAUGGAUCCGCGCUGCAUUAGCUAGUUGGUAAGGUAACGGCUUACCAAGGCAACGAUGCAUAGCCGACCUGAGAGGGUGAUCCGCCACCCUGGAACUGAGACACGGUCCAGACUCCUACGGGAGGCAGCCGUAGGGAAUCUUCCGCAAUGGGCGAAAGCCUGACGGAGCAACGCCGCGUGAGUGAUGAAGGUCUUCGGAUCGUAAAACUCUGUUAUUAGGGAAGAACAUAUGUGUAAGUAACUGUGCACAUCUUGACGGUACCUAAUCAGAAAGCCACGGCUAACUCCGUG
rnacentral:rRNA from 1 species